rnacentral:misc_RNA from 1 species
CUCCCCGGGAACCUGGUGCCCUCCUCCCCGGGAACCUGGUGCCCUCCUCCCCGGGAACCUGGUGCCCUCCUCCCCGGGAACCUGGUGCCCUCCUCCCCGGGAACCUGGUGCCCUCCUCCCCCUUACUCCAAUCCCAAUGCAUGGAUAGAGGCUUAACGGUGUUUGUGGCAGUUCAUGUCCCGGAUGUGUUACUAAAUGGGUGGCGCUGGAGGCUUGGGGCGAUACCACCACUCGUUUGUCUGUUGGCGAUUAGUGUUGUCCCCCCGAGUGGCCAGCGUGGCCCCGUACCAUUCAGGACACGAGUUGCAACGGGCGCGCACUGAAGCUAGCGUGCCCUCCCGAGGAGUGUCAGUAAAAUAAAAUACAAAAACACAAUCACGGUUGCACCAAGCACAACAUCAAACACAUACAAUGCUGAAGAGCAGGCGUAUCGAGGGCAUACCCGUGGCUCAUAACACAGUCACAAUUCAGAAGGCCGGCACGCGGUGUCAACCAGGCCACCAUUCCUCUCCGCAUUAAAGCACUCGGUGGGGGAGGGUGCCCUGGUUGACACAAUGUGCCGCGCAUCAACCAGCGCGACGGAAGUUGGCCUCCAGCAAAGCACAUUUUGCACGCAAAUGGUGUCCGCUCUCCCAAACCACACGAAUGGCACCAUGGCAAAAAACACUCCCCCACAAUGUAUUGACCUUGUUAAUGAAAGUGUGGCACUGACUUCGGCAGACGCCGAGUGGUGGAUAUAGAACCACCUUUCAUGGCAGUACAUUGCAGCAUGUGCCACAUGUUCAAAAGCAAUAAACAGAUUAAAAGAA